UUGGGAAUCUUGCACAAUGGGGGAAACCCUGAUGCAGCGACGCCGCGUGGAGGAUGACGGCCCUAGGGUUGUAAACUCCUUUUUCAGGGAAAGACUUAGGACGGUACCCUGAGAAUAAGCUCCGGCUAACUACGUGCCAGCAGCCGCGGUAAGACGUAGGGAGCAAGCGUUGUCCGGAUUUACUGGGCGUAAAGCGCACGUAGGCGGCUUGUUAAGUGAGAAGUGAAAUCUCCAGCGCUCAACGCGGAAACUGCUUCUCAUACUGGCAAGCUUGAGGGUUGUAGAGGUGACUAGAAUUCCUGGUGUAGCGGUGACAUGCAUAGAUAUCAGGAGGAAUACCCGAGGCGAAGGCGGGUCACUGGGCAACUCCUGACGCUGAGGUGCGAAAGCGUGGGUAGCAAACAGA
rnacentral:rRNA from 1 species